GGUCAAGUUACUAAGAGCACAGGGUGAAUGCCUUGGCACCAAUAGCCGACGAAGGACGCGACAAGCUGCGAAAAGCCACGGGGAACAGCAAAUAUGUAUUGAUCCGUGGAUGU
rnacentral:rRNA from 1 species